UACGUAGGGCGCAAGCGUUGUCCGGAAUUAUUGGGCGUAAAGAGCUCGUAGGCGGUUUGUCGCGUCUGCUGUGAAAACCUAAGGCUCAACCUUGGGCUUGCAGUGGGUACGGGCAGACUAGAGUGCGGUAGGGGUGACUGGAAUUCCUGGUGUAGCGGUGGAAUGCGCAGAUAUCAGGAGGAACACCGAGUGGCGAAGGCAGG
rnacentral:rRNA from 1 species